rnacentral:lncRNA from 1 species
AAUUUAAUCGAGUUUUUUUUUUCACACAAGUCUGUGUGUCCUUUGUAUCUCCUGUGUCUUGGUAUAAAAUGUAUUUCUUAUUGUGGGUCAUGAACAAACCAUGCUAAGAUCACUGUCAUGCAAGAGAUAGGUGUGGAACAUCCCUCUAAAAGAAAGGUAAUACUGUAAUAUAUAUAGAGAAAACUUGACCAGGGCUGGGAAAUGGCAAGGCAAGAACCUACAGUAAGGAAGCAACUCAUCUGGAUGCAUGUAAAAGAGUGAGCAGAAAGAUUGAAAAAUAACCCUAUGAAGACAUUCUAAAUGUAAAUUUUGUUUGGAGAUAUGGCUAAUUCCCAGUAGAAAAAUUUGGUCUAGUAAGCUAUUCCAUUUCUCUUAAAUCACAUGUCAGAGUUAAUCCACAGUCUUCUAUUCUUUUGUAGCGUCCUUUUCCUUCCUAAAGUGGCCUUUUCCUCCCACACCAUUACCUAAUAAUUCAGAUAUAAGUCAGUAUAGUACCUUUGCCCUGCAUAGAUGCAAUGAUUCCCCAAGCUAUAACCCUUAAAACACAAACUAGACAGUCUCCCAUCUUCCCCUGGCUUUCCCAUGGGGGAAUGGGAAGGCAGGAGACACCUCAUUCCCAAGUUGCCUAGUAACUAGAACUCUACUCAUCAGGAAAGAGCACCAUGACUUUGGAUGAGAAAAAGAAGAAACUGGAAAAGGCCAAACUCCUUUGGCUAUUGAUUCAACCAGUGCUGCUCGUCAUGUUAUAACUUAGGCUAUUAUUUGUCUCAAGUAUUGUGCUAUAGCGGCAGACAUGACUUACACACAAUCCAAUGAGCACAAUUUUACCAAAUCCCUGCUAUGGGUAAGUUUAGUAUGUCAUUUCAAAGUAAGUAUUUUUGAGAUGAAAUUAUCAAGCAUAGGGACUGAAUUCCUUUUUGAUUGCAUUCUGAGAGCAGGCCCACUUGAUCCUACAUAUACAGCCUGUAGUCUGAUGUCUCCAGCUGUUUCAUCUAAUCACCUCUAGGAAAUCCACAAAUCGAUUGAGUAGACUAUUUUCCAGAUAAGGCAAGUGGUGCUCAUUCGAGGUUAAUGAAAUUUCAUGGUCACUGCCUCCACAUACAUCAUCUUACAAAAGAAUCCGUGGGUUUUAAACAAUCGCGUCAGCUUCCAUUCCUUAAGAAGCCGUGGUGAAAUUCUUAAAUUAUUUCUGGUAAGUAAUUUAUCUGUACAAUCCCUUCUUGUCUCUUCAUUACUUUUAUAGAUGCAAUCAAUUAUUUCAGUCAAACAAAAUAUACUGCCAACUUUCCAGAAUUCCUAGAAUGAUUUUAACUACUUGCUUGGGGUUUUAUUCAGUAUGAGCAUAAAAGUUAUUAUAUUCUAAUUGCUUGUGAUUGUUACUACAUUGAGAUUUAUUUUGGUUGGUUAUU